AUGAGAAGGAUCCUAGAGACUGAACAUGAUUAUAUGCUACAGCAAGCCCUGGCCGUCGAUGGGUUUUUAACAGCCUAUCCUAGUGUGUUUCAGUGCCUCACAAAGCUCCGUCUGUAUAAUGUGCGGUUUGCUGAGUGGGAUAUGCAACACCUCCUGUUUGACUCCUGCAAGCAACUCAAGCAUUUAUCUCUGUCCCACUGUGAUGUUGGGGACUCUUCAGUGUGGCAGAUAAAUGCACCAGAUUCCAAACUCAGAAUCCUUGAAGUCCGCAUGUCCUGCUUGAGGAGAAUUGAGGUGCUCUGCCUACCAAAACUGAAGCAUCUAAGUUGGGACGAGUGGUUUUGUUUCGAGGCCCCCUUGCGUUUUGGUUCUGUUCCAUCCCUCAAGGUGCUGGGCCUUAUUUGUGGUGCAACCAUUGAUCAUCAGGAGUUUAGUCUGAGCCAGGUUCUACAUGGUACCAGAAACAUCCAUACUCUUACUUUGGAUUUCGAAGGAGAAAGGCUUUGGAUACAACCCGAAGGAAAGCAACUCUGCCAUGCAUUCAAACAGCUAAGGAAGCUGUCUAUUUGUGGCAUCUUUGUGGAUUUUGACCUGUUAUGGACAAUAAAUCUCCUUGAAGCUGCUCCAUCCGUUGAGAUAUUUUCUGUGCGGAUAUGGGACCAUGCUUGCCAGGAUGAUGAGCAGUUGAGAACAACGACAGGUUACGAGGCUCAAAGAACGAAGCCGUCAUGGAGCAUGCCUAAGUUCACAAGCUCUGAAACUUGGCAACUGAGAGAGCUUGAAUUUGUUGGCUUUAGGCCCCUAGAGCAACAAAUUUCUUUUUUAAGGUCCGUGAUGGAGCGAGCUUCAAACUUGAAGACGGUUCUUCUCAAAGAAGAUAAAUAUCCAUGCGUGGACUGCGAUUCAAUGAACAUUCCAAGAGGAGGUUUCUGUCCGGCGGACAAAGGUGAGCAGGAAACAAUUGUCAAGCAGCUUACAGAUGGGGUCCAGUCCUCUGCGCAGAUAAUUUUUCCAAACAGUGGUGGUAGUUGA
rnacentral:rRNA from 1 species